rnacentral:rRNA from 1 species
UGGGGAAUAUUGCACAAUGGGGGAAACCCUGAUGCAGCGACGCCGCGUGAAGGAUGAAGUAUUUCGGUAUGUAAACUUCUAUCAGCAGGGAAGAAAAUGACGGUACCUGACUAAGAAGCCCCGGCUAACUACGUGCCAGCAGCCGCGGUAAUACGUAGGGGGCAAGCGUUAUCCGGAUUUACUGGGUGUAAAGGGAGCGUAGACGGCAGUGCAAGUCUGAAGUGAAAGCCCGGGGCUCAACCCCGGGACUGCUUUGGAAACUGUGCAGCUAGAGUGUCGGAGAGGCAAGCGGAAUUCCUAGUGUAGCGGUGAAAUGCGUAGAUAUUAGGAGGAACACCAGUGGCGAAGGCGGCUUGCUGGACGAUGACUGACGUUGAGGCUCGAAAGCGUGGGGAGCAAACAG